rnacentral:rRNA from 1 species
CAGUAGCCGCGGUAAUACGGAGGGGGCUAGCGUUGUUCGGAAUUACUGGGCGUAAAGCGCACGUAGGCGGCUUGGUAAGUUAGAGGUGAAAGCCCGGAGCUCAACUCCGGAAUUGCCUUUAAGACUGCCGAGCUAGCAGGUGAGAGAGGUAAGUGGAAUUCCGAGUGUAGAGGUGAAAUUCGUAGAUAUUCGGAAGAACACCAGUGGCGAAGGCGGCUUACUGGCUCAUACUGGACGCUGAGGUGCGAAAGCGUGGGGAGCAAACAGGAUUAGAUACCCCCGUAGUCCCUGUCUCUUAUAC